CAAGGGAUCUUUUGGCUCGUUGUGCGAUGAAGGGCGCAGCGGAAGGCGAAAUGUGCAGGAGCGGCAGCAGUGAUUGCACGUGCCCGAAGCUGCAUAUUGCAGGAAGACCCCUUUGAAUUAAGCAUAUGAGUAGAGGGAGGAAAAGAAACUAACAAGGAUUCCCAUAGUAGCGGCGAGCGAAGAGGGAGCAGCCCGGAGUGUAAUCGUUAUUCAUUGAAUGACGAGAUGUCAUAGAGCGUAGCAACAUUAACCGAUCUGGAAAGACGGGCCUUGGAGGGUGAUAGCCCCGUUGUUAGCUCAUUGUGUAGGAGUAGCGGUGUUUGGUAUUGCACCGUGAAUUGGGUGGCAGCGUGCAUCCAAGGCUAAAUAUUGCAACGAGACCGAUAGUGGAUAAGUAGAGUGAUCGAAAAAGGAAUAGACUGAAAAAGUGAAAUUGCGCAGGGAGCCGAGUGGAUCGGCCCGUCUUGAAACACGGACC
rnacentral:rRNA from 1 species